CGUCAUUACUGUCAGUCAGACAGAAAUAAAAGGAAAAUGGAUGCCGUUCAGACGUACACGCAUUAUUUGGAACUGAAAAUUACGUAAUUUAUCGACCUGCUGGCUUGUAUUUGUUAUAAAUCAUAAAAAACCUGUGACCGCAGUGGAACUACGUGGUUUUCUUUCGUGAUGAUUUGAUGAUACCUCAAUGGAAUUGAGCCAAGUUUUCGCCGUAUUGGGUGCUAGAUGCCCCUUGGAGUUAAGCCCCAGUGCCACUAUACUACCUUACCAGUUAUGUGUGGGUGUCCUAAGGCACCCCAGAGAUGCAAAGGACCUUCACAAACUCACGCCACGCCUUCCUAUCUUCAGCAACCCUCGUGACCUCGCUCCACCAGCUCGAAUCUGUCACUCGCAGCUCAUUUUCGACGGACCGCUUCCAUGAGUAGACAAGGCACCGACGAUCACGGCUUGCAUCACCUGUACUGCUAUGUAAUAUAGCAUGCUGAACAAUGCUGCCAUUAUACUAGGAUCAACGUCCUGCCCCUUCCCCGGCUGUGUACAAAUUGGAACUCCAUUGGCAUGCCCCUUUGACUGAGCAACUUGUGUAUGUGUGUGUGCUCGAAACACAUUCACUUGCAACAGAAUGACUCCCAGGCUGACCUGGCUCAGUUCCUGUAUGUCUGAUCUACAUCCACAAUGGUUUCAAUGAAAGAGUGAAAAUUCUUCUCCAUGUACAAUCACUUCCAACGCCUACACUGACUACACCAAAUAUGAUCAUCACUCAACGUGUCUCACAUCAAGAUACUUUUCAAAAGUCAUCGAGAAGAGGAACAUAAUAUCUUUUCCCAUGGUUUCCUGAAUAAUCCUAACUAAAAGUUACUUCUCUAUUCUAUUUUUCCUGCAUGGAGUGGCGCUUUUCCGUCUAAUGGAAACGAAAUGAACAUAUAUGCUCUGGGGUUUUUUGUUUUUGUGCACCUUUUCAAUAUUACUAAUAAAGCAUU